AAGUGCAGGAGGGGAGCUUGGUCAGGAUGUCCUGUACACCAGGUGUGGACAGUCAGAGAAAAGGUCUUAAGCAUUCAGGUCUGGUUGGCACAGGUGAGGUCGCUGGUGGCUGUGGGCACCCCGGACUACCUGUCUCCUGAGAUUCUGCAGGCUGUUGGUGGAGGGCCUGGGGCAGGCAGCUACGGGCCAGAGUGUGACUGGUGGGCACUGGGCGUGUUUGCCUACGAAAUGUUCUAUGGGCAGACACCCUUCUACGCCGACUCCACAGCCGAGACGUAUGCCAAAAUUGUGCAUUACAGGGUAAGCAUGGGCACCAUGUAGGGAGGUACUUAUGUGUGUAAGUGUUUUCCCUGCAUGUUUGUCUGUGCCCUGAGUCAGUGCCCGUGAAGGUCUGAGGGCAUGGGAUCCCCUGGAACUGGAGUCACAGACUGCUGUCUGCUGCCAUGUUGAGUGCUGGGAAACAGAACCAUGACUGCUCAUAAAGGACUGAGCCAGCUCUGCAGCCCAGGGCUAAGUCCUAAGUUUCUCUCUCAAUAGGAACACUUGUCUCUGCCUCGGGCAGACAUGGGUGUCCCUGAGGAAGCUCAGGACCUCAUUCGUGGGCUGCUGUGUCCUGCUGAGAUAAGGCUCGGUAGAGGUGGGGCAGGUGACUUCCAGAAGCAUCCUUUCUUCUUUGGCCUUGAUUGGGAGGGUCUCCGGGACAGCGUGCCCCCCUUCACACCAGACUUCGAGGGUGCCACAGACACAUGCAAUUUUGAUGUGGUGGAGGACCGGCUCACUGC
rnacentral:lncRNA from 1 species